rnacentral:rRNA from 1 species
UACGUAGGGGGCAAGCGUUGUCCGGAUUUAUUGGGCGUAAAGAGCGUGUAGGCGGCCGUACAGGUCAGCUGUGAAAACUCGAGGCUCAACCUCGAGACGUCGGUUGAAACCGUACGGCUAGAGUCCGGAAGGGGAGAGUGGAAUUCCCGGUGUAGCGGUGAAAUGCGCAGAUAUCGGGAAGAACACCCGUGGCGAAGGCGGCUCUCUGGGACGGUACUGACGCUGAGACGCGAAAGCGUGGGGAGCGAACAGG